rnacentral:rRNA from 1 species
AGAGUUUGAUCCUGGCUCAGAACGAACGCUGGCGGCGUGGAUAAGACAUGCAAGUCGAACGAGAGAAUUGCUAGCUUGCUAAUAAUUCUCUAGUGGCGCACGGGUGAGUAACACGUGAGUAACCUGCCCCCGAGAGCGGGAUAGCCCUGGGAAACUGGGAUUAAUACCGCAUAGUAUCGAAAGAUUAAAGCAGCAAUGCGCUUGGGGAUGGGCUCGCGGCCUAUUAGUUAGUUGGUGAGGUAACGGCUCACCAAGGCGAUGACGGGUAGCCGGUCUGAGAGGAUGUCCGGCCACACUGGAACUGAGACACGGUCCAGACACCUACGGGUGGCAGCAGUCGAGAAUCAUUCACAAUGGGGGAAACCCUGAUGGUGCGACGCCGCGUGGGGGAAUGAAGGUCUUCGGAUUGUAAACCCCUGUCAUGUGGGAGCAAAUUAAAAAGAUAGUACCACAAGAGGAAGAGACGGCUAACUCUGUGCCAGCAGCCGCGGUAAUACAGAGGUCUCAAGCGUUGUUCGGAAUCACUGGGCGUAAAGCGUGCGUAGGCUGUUUCGUAAGUCGUGUGUGAAAGGCGCGGGCUCAACCCGCGGACGGCACAUGAUACUGCGAGACUAGAGUAAUGGAGGGGGAACCGGAAUUCUCGGUGUAGCAGUGAAAUGCGUAGAUAUCGAGAGGAACACUCGUGGCGAAGGCGGGUUCCUGGACAUUAACUGACGCUGAGGCACGAAGGCCAGGGGAGCGAAAGGGAUUAGAUACCCCUGUAGUCCUGGCAGUAAACGGUGCACGCUUGGUGUGCGGGGAAUCGACCCCCUGCGUGCCGGAGCUAACGCGUUAAGCGUGCCGCCUGGGGAGUACGGUCGCAAGAUUAAAACUCAAAGAAAUUGACGGGGACCCGCACAAGCGGUGGAGUAUGUGGCUUAAUUCGAUGCAACGCGAAGAACCUUACCUGGGCUUGACAUGUAAUGAACAACAUGUGAAAGCAUGCGACUCUUCGGAGGCGUUACACAGGUGCUGCAUGGCCGUCGUCAGCUCGUGUCGUGAGAUGUUUGGUUAAGUCCAGCAACGAGCGCAACCCCUGUUGCCAGUUACCAGCACGUGAAGGUGGGGACUCUGGCGAGACUGCCCAGAUCAACUGGGAGGAAGGUGGGGACGACGUCAGGUCAGUAUGGCCCUUAUGCCCAGGGCUGCACACGUACUACAAUGCCCAGUACGGAGGGGGCCGAAGCCGCGAGGCGGAGGAAAUCCUAAAAACUGGGCCCAGUUCGGACUGUAGGCUGCAACCCGCCUACACGAAGCCGGAAUCGCUAGUAAUGGCGCAUCAGCUACGGCGCCGUGAAUACGUUCCCGGGUCUUGCACUCACCGCCCGUCA